UUUGUAACAAAAAUACUUAAAAUUCAUUUAUUCAAAGUCCCUGCACUUUGUUUAACAUAAAAUAGAAACCAACUAAACAUACACAGUUUUCUAAUAGAAUAUUUCUAAACUCAACCAGUUUGCUUUUUAAUUCUGCUUGAGCAUACAGUAUUAAGGUACAUUUUUGAAGGGCAAGAAACCAUCAUAUUUAAAACCUCACUACUGAACAAUAAAAUACUACUGAAAUAGAAAGUAUAGUUCCUUUUUUCAGUACAUAAUCUAGAAGUUCUCAUCCAAAUACCCAUUACAAAGUCCAGAGAUCUCUUCUGUUUUCCAGCAUUUUCUGCUACUUUGUAAUGCCUCCAAUGAUUUUAUAAUUUCCAAUGGGUAAAGGAAUGCUUCAAAAUCUCUUCUACAAAUAUGGAGAAUAGAACUUUAUGAGGGUAACCCCUCCAACCUACUUCCCUUAAAAAAGGUGUAUAAGCGAGUUGACAGCAGAACUCAGGGAACCUCUGGUACUAAGGUGUCAUCACUACUAACCGGUUAAGGAGAUAAGACUGGGCCGAUUCCCAAAUGAGACUGAAGCAAAUGUAAAUGAGAAAUGUUAUUAAUGUUAAUGAAGAACAAACAAUUUUUUAAAGAAAGGACUAAAAUUCUGUUAACCAAGCAAAUAUCCUAGUAUUUAAAAAGAGAGAACGAACUGAGAAAAAUGAAUUUUUAAAAAUAUUAUAAUCCUGGCCCAGACUUUCAGGACUUCCAGGACACAUGAAGAAGCUCUAGAACAAUUGAGACUGCAGGAAAAACUACUUAGUACAAUAUAUAUUAAAAAAAAAUCAUUCAACAGAGAUUCUGUUAAAAGGUAGAAACGAAAAGAAAAGCCUUACGAAACUGCUAUUAAUAGAAGCUGCAGCCCCAUCCCAGUGCCUUAGGCUUAUUGGUAAGGCCUGUUCAUUUGGAAGGCUGAGUUACUGGUCUUCCACUUCUUACCCCAGUCCUUAUAGUAUGUGCUCAAUACACAUUUGUCAUUUAAAUUUUAUUGGGCAUCUAGAAUUUUUUUACUGCUCAGAACUCCAGCAGCCUGUCAUUGUAUAGUCCAGGGCAGAUAAGUGAAAGAAUCCUAGUCAUUAAAGAAGCUGAAAAAUAAGUAGUAGCUGUUGCAAGUACAGGCUUUGUUUUCUUAUUUACUUCAAUGUGGCAAACCAAAAUCGUGGUGCUGAGCCUCCAUGCCAGGAGACAGUCAAUUUGGCAGAAAUCACAUUUAAUUUGUGUCAGAAACAUAGGAUUCUACUAGCCCUCUGUCAAAAGAGGUAAUAUCAGCCCUAUCUAUCCUUCACACUCAGAUAGAUAUAGAAUCCCAAGAAGACAGACCUCACUUUGUAAUGUUCUCUCUUGGCACUUUAAAAAAACUUUUUAUUUAAAAUAGCCAUAAAGAUCCACUAAAGGAUGAUAGGUUAUUUGCACAGAGGCUGCAGUUUGUUCAAAACCAAAUAGAUUUCAAAAUAUGGCAUAUGUUAAAAUGCAGUCCCAACCAUAAGACGUUUUGGCAGCAGAGGAGUUGAAUGCUAUAGAAAACAUAUUAACUUCCCCCUCUUUCCAAUGUGUAGGAAACAGGUAACUUACAAUGACAAAUCUUCAACACACCAUAUAGAGUUUAGAAGACCUGAUGCCAUAAGAAUUAAGAACUGGAUAUAUUAGAACAUCCCACUCAAUAUUUUGUCUUACCAUUGUAUAUUCAAUUUAAAAACGAUUAAUUGUUAAUUAAUUUUUACUACACCAAGUAGAACCAGUGACUGCCACAUUUAUCUGACAAUUAUAGAGAAUUUGAUCUUUGUGCUUAUAUUUCAGGGUACUGGAAGUUUGACAACAUUGAUUUAGAUUAAAUUAUACAUAUUUGAAAGCUAUAUUUAGAUGAAGAGUUGCUUAAGCAUAUUCUUUUUAACACUCAGUUUAUGAGAAAAGUUAUGUGUUAUCUGAUCAGGAAUAUGUUGUAUUUUAAGGAUUUCACCUCAUCUGGCUGACUUUUAAAAAUCAGCAAAUAUUUUUAAAGUAGAAUUUUUAAGAUCAGAAAGAAAUCAAGUUUGAAAAAAGAGGUUUUGGAGUGAGAGAGAAGGGUCAUAUCCUACUUAAGGCUUUUUCAACACAGAGCAAGGAAAUGGUGCCACUACAAGAUCUGGUACAAAUGUUUUCCUACAUUUUUGAACCACAAUGUUUAAAAGCAUCGUAUUUUAAUUUCAGGCCUUAUAAACUAAAGAUGUCCCCGAAAAUUAAUUACACUUAUUAUUUUGGAUCAGAGUUUGUGGCUGACAACAUCUGUUAGAAACUUCAUUGUGCUCCUAAUUAAAGAACCAAGUCUAGCUGACUGAUGAAAAAAGAAAAAAAAACUUUAAUUCAAAGGAAAAUGUAAUACUGUGAAAACAACCAAAUAAUUUUCCUCCACAAAUAUUCUCCCUGGGAGAAACAGGCUUUCGGUGGGAGCACAGGUUUUCAGUCGUCUGUGUCAUGUAUCUAGUGUACAUUUUAUUAUUUUUCCCAUUUACUGUGUCUUUUCUAUUACGUUACAGCUGAAGGUUUUACUUAAUCAAUUCUCUUCUGAAACGCUCUUCCUCUGUCCUACACUAUGGUAGCUUCAGCAAUGACUGCCAAGUAAAACACCUUUUCUUUUUGUUUCCUCCCUUAUGCUUUGAAAUUUUGUUAUCCAUUUCUGUAGACAUCAACAUAUUUAAAACUUUAAAAAACAUUUUUCCCAGAAGGUUCUGUUAGAAGGUAGAAAAGAAAGCCUUAUGAGAACGUCCCCCAGAGUGCCCAGAGGGCUGCGUGAACAUGCCCAGCCAGGUUAUGAAAGAUCAUUGAUCCAAAAGGGAACGUGACAACGCCGGGUAGGUGCCCCAAGCUAGCACCUGUCCCGACCCUCUUCCGCGCCAGCCUAACCUAUGCACUUGUCACGAACCGAGGACCUAAAAGAAGGCGAGGGAAUGGGAAGGAGGAUGAAGCUGGUCAAAAGCUCGCAUUGUCACUCCGGAGCUUUUGCGCUUGACUCAUCUCUCUGGCUUUCAAAACCGGGAAGUGCGCGGCUGCGACGGCGUCGGGCAGCGUGCUCCGCGGAGAAAACACGCGCUCUAAUCCUCUCGACCAGAGGCUCUCCUCGGUCUCCGCCAGAAAACUCAAGCCCUCCGCAAGCCGGGAGGCUCCUGCGACCAGCAAGCCGUCCCCGGACCCGGCCGGACCGCGUGGCCGGGCGCGCAUUCUAACGCGGCGGGACUGGAGCGCUGACAAACUGUUUUCAGUUUGCACACCCAGCCGUCCCCGCCGCGGAAUCUGCUCCAAGAAGAUGUCGUUAGGCAGUUACGGGCAGGACUGAUGCUUUGACCGCAGGGGGGAUCCGGGCAAAGAUUUAUCUGGAAGUUUGUCUUGCACAACCCACUUCUGGAGUCCCGCGACACUCCAGACAAAAGGACGGGCUCUAAACCUAUCUCGAGAGUCCUCUGGACCUGCUGUUAGGACCCUAGUUCUCCUCACCUGGUCCAAAUGAACUCAGCAUUCGGCAACUUCUCGUCUCCACCUCCAUCCCCCACCCCGUUUUUGGUGAGCGACUUUUUUAAAAGGGGGCUCGAGCUCGGAGAACAAGAAACCUAUAGAGAAGCUAUCCCCGCGCUGUCACGCGUCCCCGCUCGUC
ensembl:lncRNA